rnacentral:rRNA from 1 species
GACGAACGCUGGCGGCGUGCUUAACACAUGCAAGUCGAACGGAAAGGCCCUGCUUUUGUGGGGUGCUCGAUUGGCGAACGGGUGAGUAACACGUGAGUAACCUGCCCUUGACUUUGGGAUAACUUCAGGAAACUGGGGCUAAUACCGGAUAGGAGCUCCUGCUGCAUGGUGGGGGUUGGAAAGUUUCGGCGGUUGGGGAUGGACUCGCGGCUUAUCAGCUUGUUGGUGGGGUAGUGGCUUACCAAGGCUUUGACGGGUAGCCGGCCUGAGAGGGUGACCGGCCACAUUGGGACUGAGAUACGGCCCAGACUCCUACGGGAGGCAGCAGUGGGGAAUAUUGCACAAUGGGCGGAAGCCUGAUGCAGCAACGCCGCGUGCGGGAUGACGGCCUUCGGGUUGUAAACCGCUUUCGAAUGUGACGAAGAGUGAGUGACGGUAAUGGGUAAAGAAGCACCGGCUAACUACGUG